rnacentral:lncRNA from 1 species
AGUGUGGUGUGGUGGAACCAGACUACCAGUGCCCUUCCCCCACUCCCUCCCUCCUCCUCCGCUCCGUUAUCCCCAAAACCCGCGCCGACGGGCCGCCCUCCCGACCUCCCCGCGCGCCGCCGCCUGCUCUCCAAUCUGCGUCCGGUCCCCCGCGCCGCAUUGCUCUCCAAUCUGUGUGGCGCGCUGAAUCUUGCGGAGUGAUUUGAUUGUUGGAGUUUCUUGAUUCUUGGUCCUCGCCGGCGGCGAGGGGCGGGCACCG